GGUGCUAUCGUCUAGUGGUUAGGACAUCACGUUGUGGCCGUACGCAAGUACAGUUAACACUAACUUUCACGGAAGUAAAAAAUUGCCGUGAAAACGCCGGUUCGAUUCCGGCUAGCGCCA
rnacentral:tRNA from 1 species